GUGUGUGGCGUAAAUAACAAGCCAGCGCCAAGUACACGAGUUAGGACGAAACGACACCGUGACGCAGUGGGCCUCUGGUCUCGUGGAGAGUGAUCUGCCGUAAGAGGAAGAAUGCACGUGAGUUUUGUCCUGGCCGCGGAAUUCCGGAUAACGCAGGUGUCUGGGAGAGUGGAUGAUCAGCCAGGACUGAGUAGAUGCUGAGUCUCGGGAGUGAACUGUGUGGUGCAGGACCGUAUCGGUUAUGCAGUCUCUUUUAACGAGAGACAUCGUGGAGGAGGCAGGCGAGUGCUCUCAACACACGUGACGGAGCGGCGCCAUGGUAACUGUCACCGUGGCCAGGAAGUCUCUUGUGCUGAACACUGCAAUGUUGUGUUAUCAAGACUGUGUAUUGGUGCAGCGCAUACAGUCGGAUCAAUAAGCGUGUUGUAGUGAUGAAACUAUGGAAACUAUGGCGAAUGAUUAUUGAUCGUUGGAAAAAAGCAUAGGUGUGAUAAUAAUUCGGUGCUUGAGUUACACUAACACUCCAUCACUACCGCCAUCACGGCCAUCACCACCGCCAUAACCACCGCCGCUACUAAGAAUCCGUGUCAUGGCAUCAUGAGGGAAAGCAGCUUGUGUGCUGUCAUCGGGACGGGACGCUCACAACUUGGAAUCUCACACAAACCUCUCCCACACCCACCUCUAAUAUCUUCCACUACGCCCUUUUGGUGUUCCACGUGCCGAGCGAAUCCGGGGAGAAGGUGACUCAGGGCAUCUCGGCGCUGCUCUCCAUGACUGUCUUCCUCAUGACCAUCAGAGUCCCUGCCGCCCACUGAGAAGACACCGCUCGUCAGGAGAGGGCAGGACAGCACACCGCGUGAGUGGCGAGGGACUGUUGCCCCACGUUCCGUCCAUUCCUAUUCACGUUGCCCCAUCCCUGUCCUAUUACAUGAGUGUUGGUCUCCAUGUCUCUGGUGAAGAUGUAUCCGGGGAAGAGGAGGAAGAGGGAGAGGUUACUGAUUACUUCCAUACGGCGUCCACUUAAUAAUAUGAAGACCACCAUAUACCCAGUGUCUGGUGUGCAGCGAAAGGCGGUUUGCCAGGAGUAUUAGUUAAGGAAGAAGAAGAAGAGCCUGGCGUCCCCGCUCGGCCCCUUCCACGACUCGCAGCGAGAGACGUCGAGGUGCGGUGGUCUUGUGGCGGAAGGCUGAAGGAGGCGGUGAAGGAGUGAAGGUGUGAAGUGUGUGGCUUCCACUUCACCAUCCUAUGAACAGCCUGCAGGAAUCUCUAUCAGCACCUGCUUCUGCAAUAUUGGCAUCUGGUUAUCAAAUAGUGCUGUCACACUGGGCCUGACAUACUCCAUUGCAAUUGGGGAAUCAAGCUUCACCAGGAAGAGAGGCCGAGCAUCACGACCUUCAAGCCUUCAAGCCCUACAAGAGGUGUUAAGUAUUGUCAGGACAAAACAGAGGUCCUGGUACAAGAGUUUUCAUUGCAAUCAAGGAAGAGUCAAGUUGCAAUAAGAAGAGUGUGUCAAGAAUUUUAAGCAGGAGGAAGACUGUCAAGCAGUUGACGGCAGGAAGAACGCGUGAAAUUCCCUUAAGUCAUGGCAGGACCGACAGGCAACCUUCAUUCAACACCUGCAGAGGCACAAGAGUUGUGGGCAGUUUCACCAGGAAGAGUUUGCUCCUCACUCAAGUUGACACAAAGACACAAGAAUUUGCAAGUGUUGUUCCUCCAAGACCCUGCUGCAAAUGUUCUCCAAUCCACUCCAGUCUGGGAAGGAAGAAUGUAGGAAGUCCCUCUCUUCUGUACUCAACAAGCACCACCACCACCACCACCUUCAUUCAGGCUUGAGACAAGUUUUGUACAUUCCAGCACUUCAGUAAUAAAGAAAACAAGUGCCAUGUUUAUUA